rnacentral:lncRNA from 1 species
UUUGAUAUAAGGAGUCACUUAUAAACUCAAUACAAAAUAAAUGUAAAUAGAAUUAUUAUUCUGUAAUAAAUAAAGAACAAAGCCAAAUUAGAUUCUCUAUUACGUUGAGUGACAAAGGCCACUUGUCUGAUAAAAAUGCAUGAUUCUAUUUAUAAAACCUUCUUGUGGUAAAAAGCAAUAUACAUCCAAAUAACAAAGUAGUGGGUGUCAGGGACUCUAGCCACGAAGGGAAGAGCUAGUGUGAGUGAUAUUAUCAGGGGCUAUAUAUACUGAAAGAUAUCUUCCUAAUUACAGGAUAGUUCUAAAUGAAAUCUACAACUAAUGAAAUAAUGACGGAACUAAAAUUAAUGUCAACUAUUAAUUUCUAUACUGUAUCACUAAUGAAUAAAAUUUAACUAUUCAGGAAAACCUGGUAAAGGAAACACUAUAUAUUCUAGAUUUGUAACUUCCAAUCAAUCUGUAAUUUUGACAAAAUUAAGGAAUAUUUAGGAACUCAUCACUGAACUUCCUGUGACUACAGAUGUAUCCCUUCCUUCUGGAUGAACAUCUCCACCAGAGGGUUACCUUGCUUAUAGUUGAACAGCCAUAAGGAAAACUGCGGCCCACUGUGCUCAAUUUCACUAUAAAAGGCAAACGAGCAGUUGUUAACAAGUACCUUUUCAGGACUACUCUUCUCAGACACUUCUUGCUAGCAGGCUGUUUGGAGAGGCUCCCAAAGUUUUGGAGAGCUAGUGCUAUAUUUGCUGGACAGGGCUGAUGCGCCAGACCUUGAGCCACAAUGUCAUGAUCCCUUUAGAAAUUGUUAAGUUACUUCCAAUAAAAGCAUGGUGGGCUGGUUUGGUGGGCUGAUUUGGUUUGUACUCACCCAACUUGGCAACACAGUGAUGUGAGCUGCCUUUUUAAAAGCACAGCCUUGGGCUGCUGGGCUACCUAAUAUCACAAAGAUCUCUGGAUCAGCCCGCUUGAUUCCCAGGAGAGCCAGCCCAGGAGCUAUGCUCUAUCAGGCACCAGGACAUUGUUCACACUGGCGAUUAUCGAUGUGACAUAGUAGAAAGUGGUCAGAUUGGUCAAAAUCAUGUUGUUUUCCUCUCUGGCUAUUUAAAAUCGUGAAUGUCUAGGGGAACAAAUGCAGCAGAUAUCUGCCCCACCCCAUCCACUGCAGAAACCAAAUAUCUGGACAGAACUAGAGCACAGGGGCUGAGGGCAGGAGCAGCAGCCAGGGGCCUGAAACUUUCACCACAGGAGGCCUUGGCUCCUGGGUGACAUAGCAUUGCUAGAUUCUGAAAAAAAAAAUCUUUGAAGUGCACAUGUCUCCACAGAAACUAAUAAUGUAAUCCUAGAUGUCUACAUUUGUUUCCUUAGAUACAUAACAUAGCACAAACAAUUUGGUUGCAGUUUUAGGGGCAGUUGUUUAUAGCUACUUUGUUAAAUUAAGGGGCUUUUUGAGAAUCAGGAGAUGGGCCGAUAGCCCUCAAAGAUUUAAGCAAGAACCACAAUUGAAAAUUAUAACCUAGCCUGCUUACAAGGUUAUUUUUAGCUCAUUCGUCUGCUUCUAAACACAUUUCUCUAUAUUAUUCCUAUAAUACGUUUCUGUUGGUCACAGAGACCACUCUCCCAGCUAUGCUAACAUGAAGUUCUCCGGAGACCAAAAGCAGAAAUAAUAAAUAAGAAAGAUGAAAGGGAAACAAAGAGUUAAGGGCAGUGUAUUACUCUCAAAGAAAGCCUUUCUAAAGUUUCCACAAGGAAAAGUUCUGCACACUAAGAACUUUCUUUACAUUUGUCCAGUCCUGAGAAACCUUUAAUGUCUGCAAUCAAAUGAGCUAACCCUGUGUGGAAAGGGAAAGGGCCUGAGCCAUGCGAUUCAAAGCAAGUAAGCGAGAAAAGCUGAACCAGGCUGAUGAAUGGCUGUGUAUUCUCACAGGGUGAGGUCAUGCAUUUUCCCCAUGAAUAGCUAUCUCCCUUUUUACUAUUGACUACAUCACCCAUUUUAUUUGGGAUUAUUUUGUUUGGGUGUCAGGGAUAUUUGUUCCCGUGACCACCCUUCCCCCAUAGAAACCAACAUUUUAUCUAUAAACACAAAAACACUGAACCCUUUGAAGCAGGUAGGCCCAGAGCUGUUCAGCUGUUGCCCUUGACCUUAAGAGAACUUGUAUUUUUUUUUCCCCUCCCCUGUUUCUCAGCUCAGAUUCUAUUUUCCUGCCAGCAUAACACUGUGACCAUUCUCAUGGAGGCCACUUGUGCUGAAUUGGCAAAAUCGCAGCAAAUAUUUGACAUAUAUUUAAUAAGUGUCAUGUCGAACUCUGAGGGUUUACUUUCGCUGCAUACAUUACCCUUGGUUGAACGGGCAGCCUCAUCCAAGUCAGACAGAAGUGUGUAUCAGUGUGUAUGUGUACGAAUGUGACAUUAAAAAAGAUAAUAAACUGGAAAGCAUUAUCUCAUUUUCAUUUUUUAGCUUUAGCUUUAAAAUAGACUCAAAGCAAAACAAAGCCGUUACUGAUUGGGUUUUUAUCUAGUUAUUUGCUCCAUGUAUGUUCUUCAACUGUUUUAGUUUUUUUUAGAUUUCAAUAACGUUUAUAAAAACAAAUUCAUAACACUUGGAAUUUUCUCCAUUUUUAUCUGGAGAUGAUAAGGGU